CCGUAAUACAAAUGCAAGCGGAAAUCAAGUUUAAAAUUAAUUUAUUUGCGAUCUACUUUUAUCAAUUAUACGGUUUUUUGUUCUUUUGAAGAAGUUUAUUGUGUAAUACGAAGAUGUUGUGAAAAGUUUAGCCGCGCAUUGUUUAUGAAGAGUGAAGUUUUUAUAUGUACGUAUGUAAUUCGAGUGUUGCAGGUAAUUGGAGUGAGCGCGUCGGUGAUGUGAAAGCAAAAUUAUAAUAUAAAUUUAAACGAAUUUCAAAUAAAGUUAUUCAAUAUGAAAAAUAUAUGUAUGUACAUACCAAAUAACCUUGCAAUGAUGCUGUCGUCAGCUCAAAUAUGCCUCAACAAUGAUUUUGCACAGCUCCACCGCCAAUGAAGUCUUCACUGGAAAUCCACUGAUACGAAAGGCAUGGACACGCAGCUAAUCAUCCGGAAAUAAUAUAUUACCUAAAAAAUGUCUAAAUGCCGAAUGCCAAAUGGCAGGCGGACAAGUUUGAGAGCUGAGAAAAAAAAAUAAAAGUUAAUGUAGAAUGAAAGGCAAAGGUUAAAGCUAUCAGAAGCAAUGAAGAGUUGAGUCCCUCUUUACAUAUGCUACACUGUUGUAGUGAAGAGCCAAUUUCGUAUUUGUCUCUCUGGAUACGAAAAAGAACGCGUUGGCGGGUUGGCUAGCUGCCUGGCUAUCGAAAUUCGCAACUAGGAAAAAUUGGUUGGAUAUUGAUUUUUGACUGAACUAAUUUGUAGGUUUUAAUGCAGUGUUAAUUUGAUUUUAAAAAACUGAAGAGAACGGGAUUGAGAAAUACAAAGCUGAAGUAAACCAGCUUGGCACAAUAACAAGUGAGAUGGAAGGGUUGUUUGCAGACGUGUGACUUGUGAAGCGACCGGAAUGGACGAAUG